rnacentral:tRNA from 1 species
UCCUUUAAAGUUUUUAAACAUUGAUUUUGUAAUUCAAAGAUUAUUAAAGGAA